rnacentral:tRNA from 1 species
GCGCGGGUGGUGGAAUUGGUAUACACGAGGGACUUAAAAUCCCUUGCCCAAAAGGCUUGCGGGUUCAAGUCCCGCCCUGCGCACCA